rnacentral:sRNA from 1 species
GGACAAGUGACGCAGUAUCCUAGUCGGGAACCCUUUUUCGAAGGCGGGCCUAAAAAUCCGUCAAGGGCACAUCGAUGAAGUUCCUGGUGCUGGCUGCUGACGCCCAGUCGGGGGUUGGUACUGGGAGUUAAGGGGGCGGGGCGACCCGCAAUGGCAUGUGGGCGUUGACCCUGCCCCCGCGGAGACCCAAGUGCGUGGGGUUGUUAACGGCAACUGCUAUGGCUUGGGUGUGAACCUGCACGUGGGGAAAGCUGCGUGCAGUGUAGCCUGCCUUGAGUGGUGGCGGUGGAGGCCGGUUUAGCCGGGUCGUUGUCGUCUGGGCCCGUACACAACGGCCCGCGGGUUUAAACCGUCACUGCAAAAGAGGCUAGAAAAAGGUAAUCCCGUCGAGGAAAACUCCUAGGCUGUCUGGGAACCCGGGGCGAUGCGGGGAUUACAGUGUGGACUAAGUGGUAAUCCAGUCCCGAAACCGGCAACGUUUCGGAAUUCCGUUUAAAGGGAAACCGCCGGUAUGGCGACAGCCGGUACGGAAUUGGGAAAACCUGCUGGACCUAAGCCACAACAUUUACCCGCAUCGUUGUCACUUGUCC